rnacentral:lncRNA from 1 species
CCAAGAGUCCUUUAGGCCUUUCUGCACAGCAGAGGGAUACAUGACAGGAUCUCCCCUUAAGUAGGGCUGACUCUCAAAGUCAUGCCUGCUGCAGAGGUUCCACAUUCCUCACGAGAGAUUCCUUGCUGCAGCUGAUCCUCACAACAACAAAGAAAGAGAGACCCUGAAGAAUAGUCCAGGCACCAAAGACCUCAGCCAAAGAGUUGUGUCAAGCCACAGGACUUGUGUCAGAGCCAAGGAGGACUGAAUACAGUAUCUUUCUGUGAAGCAGAGUGGGCUCCAUAAGAGCUCAUCUUGGUAGAAAAAGAAGAUACAAGUGCAGCAGAGAUGUGUGGUUUUUGCAGCAUUCUCAACUUUCCAUAAAGGAAGUUCAGGAAUCUUCUGGAAGCUUGUUCAGCAAUCAGCAUCUGUUAACUUCUGUUGGCUUAUAUACACAAUGUAUACGAAGGAACUGAAAGUGAAACAUUCUCCUGCUCUGCCCUCCCCUUCCCUUCUCUCCCCUCUUCUGAGUUCUAUACAAAAUAAACAACGUUAAUACACGCUAACACAGCUUGUCAGCUUCUUGGAUUGACACAGCAGUUAAAUGGUAAAACCAAAAGGCACUAAUAAUAAAUGUCUAUGAC